rnacentral:tRNA from 1 species
GUAGAUAUAGUUUACUAAAAACACUAGACUGUGAAUCUAGAAAUAAAAGAUUACAUCUUUUUAUCUACC